rnacentral:rRNA from 1 species
UCGAGAAUUUUUCACAAUGGGCGAAAGCCUGAUGGAGCGACGCCGCGUGGGGGAUGAAUGGCUUCGGCCCGUAAACCCCUGUCAUUUGCGAAUAAACCUUUCGCUUGAAUAAGGCGAAAGCUGAUUGUAGCAGAAGAGGAAGGGACGGCUAACUCUGUGCCAGCAGCCGCGGUAAUACAGAGGUCCCGAGCGUUGUUCGGAUUCACUGGGCGUAAAGGGUGCGUAGGUGGUGAGGUAAGUUUGUGGUGAAAGCUCCGGGCCUAACCCGGAAAAUGCCUCGAAUACUAUCUCGCUAGAGGGUUGUAGGGGAGACUGGAAUUCUCGGUGUAGCAGUGAAAUGCGUAGAUAUCGAGAGGAACACCAGUGGCGAAGGCGAGUCUCUGGACAACUCCUGACACUGAGGCACGAAAGCCAGGGGAGCAAACGG